AUGAAGUUUAAUGUAAACCAUUACCUUCACAUUGCUCUCCCGACGUGCCAUCCUUACAAAGGCAAAGGGUUGCGUUGUUUUGAAUGGUACUGCACUCUCCUUCAUUUGUAGUGGUUAAAAGCUGCAUCGUUUGUCAAAGUGUUGCUCUUGGUGAAGCUAUCCGAAGACAGCAAUUCACAGACGUGGAAACCAUUCGGUUCAGGAAUGGACUUGAAAUUACAAGAUUGACACCAUGAAGCGCGAAUGCACUCGGUCAAACAGCUCGUCGACUUGUGAUCAACAAGAGUUGACUGCGACUUGGCUCCGUUAAGAAGUUUUAAUCUUUGUUUUCGAUGACAAUCAAAUAGAAUAAGAUCAUUUUGUGAUCGGCUGGCUAUGUGGUGAACUACUAAUAAAAACAGAAGCACACAAGCGAUUUCUUUUGAAAUCAACAUCUUAGUGAAAUGAUAACAUUUGUAGUGAGUCUGGUCAAUAGUUAAGAAACAAAGUUACAAGGGCGGACCCAGGGGGCGGAUCGUGAUUGAUUAGUCACAACUAGACAUUACAAUCUAAUUAAAUAAGAUAAGAAGAACAAAUAAGACUCAAAGAUAUAAAAAUUUGUACAGGGGGUUGGUAUAUUGAAGUUACUMAAUAUCAAUCUUCAGGCGCUCAAAACUAGACAUUUCCAUGUCUAAUUAAAUAAAAAGAACAAACUAGACUC